GUAGGGUGCGAGCGUUAAUCGGAAUUACUGGGCGUAAAGCGUGCGCAGGCGGUUCGUUGUGUCGGUGGUGAAAUCCCCGGGCUUAACCUGGGAAUGGCCAUGGAAACUGGCGAACUGGAGUGCGGCAGAGGGGGGUGGAAUUCCGCGUGUAGCAGUGAAAUGCGUAGAGAUGCGGAGGAACACCGAUGGCGAAGGCAGCCCCCUGGGCUAGCACUGACGCUCAGGCACGAAAGCGUGGGGAGCAAACAGGAUUAGAUACCCUGGUAGUCCACGCCCUAAACCAUGUCAACUGGAUGUUCGGGAAGCGAUUUCUGAGUACCGUAGCUAACGCGUGAAGUUGACCGCCUGGGGAGUACGGCCGCAAGGUUA
rnacentral:rRNA from 1 species